rnacentral:tRNA from 1 species
GUAUUGGUGAUUCAGUGGAAGAAUUCUCCCCUUCCAUGUGGAAGACCUGGGUUCAAUUCCUGGCCAAUGCA